GUAUGGCUCCAAGUUCAAGGUCAGCCUGGUCUACACAGUGAGUUCAAGACUAGCCUGGACUACAUUGUGAGACCCUGUCACAACAACAACAACAAAAUUCCAUGACUUUACAGGUUUUUGCUGAGUUGUGCUGAAACAUUCCCUGAAAUUUCUGUCAUUCCUGAGGAUGUUGUAAACCAAAAGAAAAAUUUGCCACACGAAAUAGCUUUCCUCAAACAUCUGCUG
rnacentral:lncRNA from 1 species